CAGCCGCCGCGGGAAAACGUAGGGUGCGAGCGUUAAUCGGAAUUACUGGGCGUAAAGCGUGCGUAGGCGGCUUCUUAAGUCGGAUGUGAAAUCCCUGAGCUUAACUUAGGAAUUGCAUUCGAUACUGGGAAGCUAGAGUAUGGGAGAGGAUGGUAGAAUUCCAGGUGUAGCGGUGAAAUGCGUAGAGAUCUGGAGGAAUACCGAUGGCGAAGGCAGCCAUCUGGCCUAAUACUGACGCUGAGGUACGAAAGCAUGGGGAGCAAACAGGAUUAGAUACCCCGGUAGUCCCUGUCUCUUAUAC
rnacentral:rRNA from 1 species